rnacentral:misc_RNA from 1 species
GUUUCGGAAAGAAAUUUUAUUUAAUUUAUUGAUAUUGCGUCAAUUUCAAUUGAAUAUUAUUAAUGAUGUUACUUUAUGGGUACUGCCGAUUAAUUCUUAUCGGAGUCCAAUUAUUUCUACCUUUGUGGUGUUUAUUGGCUGUUAUAUACACUCUGAUUGAGAUUGGUGUGUAUAUUUCGAAAAUAAUAUAUGUUCGACGUAGGAGUCGAAAGGAUUCCAUAGACCAAUUCCGCUUGGUUCGAUAUCAGAAAAGAUCGAAACAAGAAUUUGCUCAGAAUCACCCAAGUUAUAAUGAUUAUUAUAAUCUUCAUACAGUUCUAGUAGACGAAUAAUGGAAAAAAUGCAAUUGAAGAGUUCCAUUAAUCAGUCUGCUGAAGAAAAGCCUACUGAAAAUAUAUCUGAAAGCAAUUCUUCGAUAGCCAUUCCAACAACAUUAAAAAAAGGCAUAUCUUAUCGAAGAAAUCUUCUCAUAUAUAACUCUCUUGGAACUCGAAUACAAACUGAACCUAUACCUGCUCAUCUUCCUGCAUUAGAAGAACGUAAUAGAGAUAAAAAGUUGGAAGAAAAACGACUGGAAUGGUUGUUGUCUGGAGUAAAACAAGCCUGCAAGAAGAAAGAUUGUACAAAAAGUGGUAUUUAUUGCGGUAGCCAACAAGGCUUGGUUCGAUAUCAGGAAGGUUCGAAACAAGAAUUUGCUCAGUAUCAAAAAGUGGAUCUAAAUUACUCAAAUUGCAAUGAUUAUUAUAAUCAGAAGCAAAUAGAUAAGAAAAAGAAAAGAACUUAAACAUUGA